rnacentral:rRNA from 1 species
CCUACGUGAGGCUGCAGUGAGGAAUAUUGGUCAAUGGACGAGAGUCUGAACCAGCCAAGUAGCGUGAAGGAUGACUGCCCUAUGGGUUGUAAACUUCUUUUAUAUGGGAAUAAAACGUUCCACGUGUGGGCUUUUGUAUGUACCCUAUGAAUAAGGAUCGGCUAACUCCGUGCCAGCAGCCGCGGUAAUACGGAGGAUCCGAGCGUUAUCCGGAUUUAUUGGGUUUAAAGGGAGCGUAGGUGGAUUGUUAAGUCAGUUGUGAAAGUUUGCGGCUCAACCGUAAAAUUGCAGUUGAAACUGGCAGGCUUGAGUACAGUAGAGGUGGGCGGAAUUCGUGGUGUAGCGGUGAAAUGCUUAGAUAUCACGAAGAACUCCGAUUGCGAAGGCAGUUCACUGGACUGCAACUGACACUGAGGCUCGAAAGUGUGGGUAUCAAACAGGAUUAGAUACCCUUGUAGUC